rnacentral:rRNA from 1 species
AGAGUUUGAUCCUGGCUCAGGAUGAACGCUAGCGAUAGGCUUAACACAUGCAAGUCGAGGGGCAGCAUGGUCUUAGCUUGCUAAGACUGAUGGCGACCGGCGCACGGGUGCGUAACGCGUAUGCAACUUGCCUCACAGAGGGGGAUAACCCGUCGAAAGACGGACUAAUACCGCGUACACUCCACUUUGGGCAUCCAAGGUAGAGGAAAUGAAUUUCGCUGUGAGAUAGGCAUGCGUCCCAUUAGCUAGUUGGUGAGGUAACGGCUCACCAAGGCGACGAUGGGUAGGGGAACUGAGAGGUUGAACCCCCACACUGGUACUGAGACACGGACCAGACUCCUACGGGAGGCAGCAGUGAGGAAUAUUGGUCAAUGGGCGAGAGCCUGAACCAGCCAAGUCGCGUGAAGGAUGACUGUCUUAUGGAUUGUAAACUUCUUUUAUACGGGAAUAACAAGAGUCACGUGUGGCUCCCUGCAUGUACCGUAUGAAUAAGCAUCGGCUAACUCCGUGCCAGCAGCCGCGGUAAUACGGAGGAUGCGAGCGUUAUCCGGAUUUAUUGGGUUUAAAGGGUGCGUAGGCGGCCUGUUAAGUCAGCGGUGAAAUCUAGGAGCUUAACUCCUAAAUUGCCAUUGAUACUGGCGGGCUUGAGUGUAGAUGAGGUAGGCGGAAUGCGUGGUGUAGCGGUGGAAUGCAUAGAUAUCACGCAGAACUCCGAUUGCGAAGGCAGCUUACUAAGGUACAACUGACGCUGAAGCACGAAAGCGUGGGUAUCAAACAGGAUUAGAUACCCUGGUAGUCCACGCAGUAAACGAUGAUAACUGGGCGUAUGCGAUAUACAGUAUGCUCCUAAGCGAAAGCGUUAAGUUAUCCACCUGGGGAGUACGCCGGCAACGGUGAAACUCAAAGGAAUUGACGGGGGCCCG